rnacentral:lncRNA from 1 species
AUCAAGUCAAAAGAUUCUAGAAGUCAAUUAUGGAACACGAGAUGAAAGUGAUCAUUAGUUUGAGGGGGAGAAUGUGAGAUAACAAACUAAGUCUCACAUUGGAGAAUUGAACAAAUGAUGUCUAAUAUAUAAAAAAAUGUCCAACUCUAAUUAGUACGAGGUCUUUUAGGAAGGAAACCAAAAGUAAAUCCAUGCGGGCUUGCCUCUUAGCCUAAAGUGGACAAUAUCAUACUAAU